rnacentral:rRNA from 1 species
UACGUAGGGUGCGAGCGUUGUCCGGAAUUAUUGGGCGUAAAGAGCUUGUAGGCGGUUUGUCGCGUCUGCCGUGAAAGCCCAGGGCUUAACCCUGGGUCUGCGGUGGGUACGGGCAGACUAGAGUGUGGUAGGGGAGACUGGAAUUCCUGGUGUAGCGGUGAAAUGCGCAGAUAUCAGGAGGAAUACCGAUGGCGAAGGCAGGUCUCUGGGCUGACACUGACGCUCAUGCACGAAAGCGUGGGGAGCAAACAGG